rnacentral:rRNA from 1 species
UAUGCUGCCGAGAAAAGCCUCUAGCGAGCUGGUACAUGGCCCGUACCCCAAACCGACACAGGUGGUCAGGUAGAGAAUACUAAGGCGAUCGAGAGAACUGUGGUUAAGGAACUCGGCAAAAUGCCCCCGUAACUUCGGGAGAAGGGGGACCAGUCCUGGUGACGACAUUUACUGUCUGAGCUGGGGUUGGUCGCAGAGACCAGAGAGACGCGACUGUUUGCUAAAAACACAGGUCCGUGCGAAGUCGUAAGACGAUGUAUACGGACUGACGCCUCCCCGGUGCUGGAAGGUUAAGAGGACCGGUCAGCCACUUCGGUGGCGAAGCUGAGAAUUUAAGCCCCAGUAAACGGCGGUGGUAACUAUAACCAUCCUAAGGUAGCGAAAUUCCUUGUCGGGUAAGUUCCGACCUGCACGAAUGGCGUAACGACUUCUCUGCUGUCUCAACCACAGACUCGGCGAAAUUGCAGUACGAGUAAACAUGCUCGUUACGCGCGGCAGGACGAAAAGACCCCGGGACCUUCACUAUAGCUUGGUAUUGGUGUUCGGUUCGGUUUGUGCAGGAUAGGUGGGAGACUGUGAAACUCGCACGCCAGUGUGGGUGGAGUCGUUGUUGAAAUACCACUCUGACCGUAUUGGACAUCUAACCUCGGACUAUGAUCUGGUUCAGGGACAGUGCCUGGUAGGUAGUUUAACUGGGGCGGUUGCCUCCUAAAAAGUAACGGAGGCGCCCAAAGGUUCCCUCAGCCUGGUUGGCAAUCAGGUGUUGAGUGUAAGUGCACAAGGGAGCUUGACUGUGAGACGUACAUGUCGAGCAGGUACGAAAGUCGGGACUAGUGAUCCGGCACCGGCAAGUGGAAGCGGUGUCGCUCAACGGAUAAAAGGUACCCCGGGGAUAACAGGCUGAUCUUCCCCAGGAGUCCAUAUCGACGGGAUGGUUUGGCACCUCGAUGUCGGCUCGUCGCAUCCUGGGGCUGGAGUAGGUCCCAAGGGUUGGGCUGUUCGCCCAUUAAAGCGGCACGCGAGCUGGGUUUAGAACGUCGUGAGACAGUUCGGUCUCUAUCCGCCGCGCGCGUAAGAAACUUGAGGAAACCUGUCCCUAGUACGAGAGGACCGGGACGGACGAACCUCUGGUGUGCCAGUUGUUCCACCAGGAGCACCUCUGGUUAGCUACGUUCGGAAGGGAUAACCGCUGAAAGCAUCUAAGCGGGAAGCCUGUUCCAAGAUGAGGUUUCUCACCACCUAGCGUGGUUAAGGCCCCCCACAGACCAUGGGGUUGAUAGGCCAGAACUGUAAGCACAGCAAUGUGUUCAGGUGACUGGUACUAAUCGGCCGAGGACUUACC